CAUAAAUAACAUGACAGUGUAAAUGGGGAGCAGAAGAACUUUUGCUUGAAAAAUCUCAGCAAACAGCAAAAGUUAAAGUGGCUUUUGUUUGUGUGUGAGAGAAGAGAGAGUGUGUGUGUGUGUGUGAAUCGAUAUGUUUAAGCUGCUGCUAGCUGCUGACUGCAAUGUAGGCGAACUUUUGA
rnacentral:sRNA from 1 species